rnacentral:rRNA from 1 species
UACAGAGGUCUCAAGCGUUGUUCGGAUUCAUUGGGCGUAAAGGGCGCGUAGGCGGCGCUGUAAGUCACUUGUGAAAUCUCCGGGCUUAACUCGGAACGGUCAAGUGAUACUGCAGUGCUAGAGUGCAGAAAGGGCAAUCGGAAUUCUUGGUGUAGCGGUGAAAUGCGUAGAUAUCAAGAGGAACACCUGAGGCGAAGGCGGGUUGCUAGGCUGACACUGACGCUGACAGCGCGAAAGCCAGGGGAGCAAACGGG